GCCGAGGUGGCGGAAUUGGCAGACGCGCACGGUUGAGGGCCGUGUGGACUUUAACGUCCGUGCGGGUUCAAGUCCCGCUCUCGGCACCA
rnacentral:tRNA from 2 species